UGGGGUGGAGCUCAGUGGUAGAGAGCCUGCUUCACAUGCAGAAGGCCCUUGGUUCAACCCCAGCACCACAA
rnacentral:tRNA from 1 species